GAUGGGGCGGUGGCGUGCAAGCAUCGUGGUCAUGGAUGUGGAAAAGGAGCGUGGACGGGAUGGAGAAGUCAGCAGCAGGGGUUUCCGCCGCCGGCCUUGUUGUGUAGUACAAGGGCGUGGUGGUCGGAUCCAUGGUGGCUGGGGUCGGACUACAGGGAUGCAACGUGCAAGCUUCGCUAUGGUGGCGGAUUGGUAGUUGAUCUGCUAGGGGAAGGUAGAGCAUUAGCCCCAGGUGCUUUUCGCAUGGUUUUUGCUGAUUUUAAGAGGAGGAAUUGCUAUGUGUAGUUAGUCUGUUUUUUUACAACUAGGGCCCUGUUCCUGUGCAAUUUAUCAUAGCCACUAGCCAAAUUUUUAAGUCAGUUUUUUGUUGUUAGUUCUGUGCAAGUAGGGGCGCUUCCCUGUGCAACUAGGAUCCCUUCCUAUGCAAUCUAUUACAUCUGGUAGCCAAAUUUUGUAAGCAAACUAGGCAAAAUAAAUUUUAUUCUCUGAAUAUCAGUUUUUUUAUGUUAGUUCUCUGCAACUAGGGGUUCCUUAGCAAUCUAUCAUAUCUUUGUAGCCCAAUUUGUAAGCAAACUACGCAAAUAAUUCUCGUUCUCUGUAUAUCAGUUUUUGGUGUCAGUUCUGUGCAACUUGAGGAGCAUUCCUGUGCAAUCUAUCCCAAAUUUGUAAGCAAACUAGGCAACUAAUUUUAUUUUAGUUCACUGGGGUCUGGGAUCCUGCGCAACUAGGGAUACAUUACUGUGCAACCAGAGGAAAUGUGCUUGAUAGUGAAACAGAGGUUCAUAUUUUCUUUUUCUUUUAUCCUAUGGCCAUUUAUUUAUACUCUUUUCUUUUACCCUCUUUGUAGUUCAAUAUUUUUUAUUCAUUGUAGGGUUCUCCAAAUAGGACCUCUUGGCGGAAUUCAAAACGGGCGGCUAAGCGACAACCACGUGGCGCUGAUAAUGACGGGGAUGGAGAGGAUGAUGAUGUGUCCUAAAGAGUAUAUAAAUGAGUUGGCAUCCUCAGUCUUUUCUAGUUGCACAAGAGUACCUGAUAAUUGGCAUCCUCAGUAUUUCUAGUUGCACAAUACCAUCCAACUAGUUGACAUCCUAGUAUUUUUGUAGCUGCAUUGACACCCUCAGGUGAAUGUGCAAUUUUUUGAUUUGGUCAUGCAAGUGCUGAAUAGUUCUUUUCCCAAGAGUAUCUAAUUAAUUGGCAUCCUCAAGAUUUAUAGUUGCACACGAGUAUUCAAUUAGUUGGCGUCCUUAGCAUUUCUACUUGCACAAACAAUAUCCUACUAAUUGACAUCCUCAGCCACAAGAAAACUAUUUUUUAGUCCCAUCUUCAAAUUUUUGAGGGUUGCCCAAGAGUAUCUAAUGAUUUGGCACCCUCAGCCUUUCUAGUUGCACAGGAGUAUUUAAUUAGUUGGCAUCCUGAGCAUUUUCUAGUUACACAAUAGCAUCUAACUAGUUG
rnacentral:lncRNA from 1 species